rnacentral:rRNA from 1 species
AUCUAAGCGUGAAGCCAACCUCAAGAUGAGAUAUCCCAUCGCAAGAGUAAGACCCCUUGAAGAGAACGAGGUAGAUAGGACUGAGGUGUAAGUGUAGCAAUACAUUCAGCUGACAGUUACUAAUAGGUCGAGGGCUUAUCCAAU